rnacentral:lncRNA from 1 species
ACCCACGAGCAAACUUUCUUCUCUACGGUAGCUUCAAUAUGAGAGCCAUUUCAGAUAAGAGAGACUUGCAAAUAGCUUAAGAGACAUAAUGAGAGGUAGAGUGGAAAUGAUUUUAGAAGAAAAAUAAAGAUUUUGGGGAGAUAGACCACUGGUUUGGAGAAAAGGGUUUGAAGCUAGGAUAAGCUUGAUCCGUCCAAAUGAAGAAGAAAA